UUGCAUUCACCACUAAAUCACUUCGGACCACACAAGUGCUUGGCCAACGCAGCCCUGUUACGGCUAAGCCGAGGGGACAGCCUGCCCCCAGAUGGAUGAAGGAGCUGCCUGUCCGCGGGGAGCUGGCGGGAUUUCCCAUAAGGCUGGGGUUGGCGUCUGUUUCCGUCAACAAAGCACAUCGGCUUCCUACCGCAACCACGAGGAGCGCCCCUCUCUCGCCAGCAAGGAACUACUUCCUCCCCUACUGUGGCUUCAGGAUGAAGAAACAGAGGCACAGAGAGGUUAAGUAACUUGCCCAGGGACACACAGCAGCUGAGUGAUGGAGGGCACCUGACGUCCCAGGACUGCUUCCUGCUGCUGCCCCGCCCCCACCUCAGCUGCGCCCAGAGGAGGAGGAGGGGUCGCUGAAGGAGACCAGGGACUUCUCUACCCGGUGUGAUGACCGCCCAUUUCAGUCCUCAACUUCCAGUCAACAUGGCAUGGGGGGCUGGCGCUGUGGCUUAGCAAGUAAAGCUGCUGCCUGUGGUGCCGGCAUCCCAUAUGGGUGCCGGUUUGAAUCCUGGCUGCUCCACUUCCGAUCCAGCUCUCUGCGGUGGCCUGGGAAAGCAGUAGAAGAUGGCCCAAGUCCUUGGGUCCCUGCACCUGCGUGGGAGACCCAGAGGAAGCUCCUGGCUCCUGCCUUCGGAUCGGUACAGCUCCAGCUGUUGUGGCCAUUUGGGGAGUGAACCAGUGGAUGGACAAUCUCUCUCUCUCCCUCUGCCCCUCUGUAACUCUGACUUACAAGUAAAUAAAUACAAUCUUAAAAAAAGAAAAGAAAAGAAAACUGACCUGAUAAAACUAUGAAAAAAAGAAAAGAAAAGAAAAGAAAAGAUGGCACAGGGAUUCAUGCGGCGCUGACCCUCUGUUCUCCCCAGCAAAAAUCUGGAAAACAGAACAUAAAGGACUCACAGGAGAGCGGAGCUGGAGCCCGAACCCAGAGAGGAGAGCUCUGUGUGCCAGGAGCAGCCAAGGAGCCCAAGUAGGGGGGUCCAGGACCUGCUGCUCUGGGGUCUGGGACAGCAGGGCUGCCUGCAGCUGACGAACUCUGUGCCAGGCUCCAGGAAACCAGUGGCGAGGGGAGGCUCCCUCUGCUUGUGACGGGAGGAAGGAAAAGGGAAAACAGCUCUCUGUUGUGUACAGCCUGCAGCCUGAGAUGUAGGCAGGUGAAAGAAGACAGGCUCUGGACCCGAGCUGAGGCCAGCCCCUCCAGCCACAGGCUUGCAUCUGCAGUGUCCUCCUAGAGACAAGAGAGGGAGGCCCCGAAGUGCUGUCACAGGACUUGGUUUUCAGCUGGGCCUCAGGUCCCAGCUCAGGAUAAGCAGAGAGAGAAAAACAGAUGUAAAAACAAAACAAAGCAAAAAAAAAACGCUCCAACUCACUGUGAGGUUGUAAGCCAAAAUCCAUGUGAAAUGUUUGAUGGUAAGAAAAAAAAAGUCAAUAAAAUCAAUAUUUGGAAUAGGAAUUCACUCCAGAUUAAAUUUACUUUGUGAAAGGCUUCAAAAGAAUUUAAAAAAAUAUAAAGGAUGCUUAAAAGGCAAAGGUUUAAAGUCCACUGGAGAUGAAUAAGGAACAAAAUGAGAACAAGGGAAUAUGGCAAGAACAAAUUAGAAAGCUUAGACAAGUUUGAUUAUUAAAAAUGAAAAGCUACAGUAUGUAAAAUAGACAGAAGACCAAUGAGUUAGAAGAUGGUAUUGAGGAAUUCAUACUCUCAUAUUACACAGGGGCAAAGAUUGAAAAUACAAAGGCAUUUAUGAGGGAGGGCGUGAACAUAUGUCCAGGAGGAGCGACAGAGGAACACAGUGAAGGCAAUGACAGUGAAACAACACAGGAGCACGAAGAAAUACUCAGGAAAUCUCCCUGGGAAGUGUCAGAACGUCGAGGUAAAGAGGAAAACAAAACAAAACAACCCUACAGUAGACCAGAGGAAAAGGCAUAUUAUUUAAAAAGUAACUUUUGUUCUCAGCAAAGUCAGGCCAGAGACAACAGAGAAUAUCUUCCAGGACUUUUAUACCCAGCUAACUUACAGCUAAAAU